AAGUUAGAUUGCUGGUGAGCUGCCUUAACAUCAUUUGUAAUUGACGAAUCUCGUGAACAGCACCUUGUAUCAUUACCCUCCUUACCACAGUAAAAAUACCACCCAUCUGGUCAAAAAAUUGUAAUGAAUGCCAAGAAUCCUCAAAAAAACUUUGUAGCUCAGGCCAGGACCUAGUUGCAACAACAGCACACAUGAUGGAUCCCACACUAGAACCAGCA
rnacentral:misc_RNA from 1 species